AACCCGAAUCAAUAACCUUCGGCGUAAAGAGUGUUUAGGAUAAUUACCCAAAUAAAGUUAAACUAUUACUAAGCCGUAAAAAGCCCCAGUAUAAAUAAACCCAACAACGAAAGUGACUUUAGCAUGUCCGAACACACGACAACUAGGACCCAAACUGGGAUUAGAUACCCCACUAUGCCUAGCCGUAAACAUAAAUAUUCAAACAACAAGAAUAUUCGCCAGAGUACUACUAGCAAUAGCUAAAAACUUAAAGGACUUGGCGGUGCUUCAUAUCCACCUAGAGGAGCCUGUUCUAUAAUCGAUAAACCCCGAUAAACCUCACCACCUCUUGCUAAU
rnacentral:rRNA from 1 species